AUUGAACGCUGGCGGUAUGCUUUACACAUGCAAGUCGAACGGUAACGGGGAGCUUGCUCCGCUGACGAGUGGCGAACGGGUGAGUAAUGCGUCGGAACGUGCCGAGUAGUGGGGGAUAACGCAUCGAAAGGUGUGCUAAUACCGCAUACGUACUGAGGUAGAAAGUGGGGGACCUGCGGGCCUCACGCUAUUCGAUCGGCCGACGUCUGGUUAGCUAGUUGGUGAGGUAAAGGCUCACCAAGGCGACGAUCAGUAGCGGGUCUGAGAGGAUGAUACGCCACACUGGGACUGAGACACGGCCCAGACUCCUACGGGAGGCAGCAGUGGGGAAUUUUGGACAAUGGGCGCAAGCCUGAUCCAGCCAUGCCGCGUGUCUGAAGAAGGCCUUCGGGUUGUAAAGGACUUUUGUCCGGGAGCAAAUGGUGGUGGCUAACAUCCACCGGAGCUGAGAGUACCGGAAGAAUAAGCACCGGCUAACUACGUGCCAACAGCCGCAGUAACAC
rnacentral:rRNA from 1 species